AAAGGUCACAGGUACUUUGCUACUUUGGUAGGAAGUUUCUAGGUCGCUAUGCCUAAAGCUUUGUUAUGAGAGCCCGACCAAGUUUUCAUUCUCAUCUCUUCGAGUUUUGUUUCCCUGCUGGCCAUGAUACCUGCAGCGAUGCUAAUCCACUCAAUGUUGCCAAUAUGUGCAUGGGUAAACGGCCACCUACUGGAGCACGGACUUGCUCUAAGGUGCUCCAACUCCGAAGAUAACUGACAUGCCUCUUCCGGUCUGUGACCCCCAUUAGACCUGCAAAGCUUGCUAGGUUUCCAGGACCAGGCAUGAUCCCUUGCUAGUAAGCAGACCUUAAAAUCCAGCAGACACCUGUUGGUUGUUGAUUCCAUUUUGCAUAGUAUUUUCUGGAACCAUAGAAGAUCGACCAUAAAAGAGAGACCUAUGGCUCAGAGCCAGCAUGAAUCAUUCCAGCUCCUCCUGUGGCCUAAGUGCAUGUAGUGUUUUCAGCAAUAGGCCUUCAACCAAGCUGUUUUGGGAAUCACUUGGACUUCCCCCACCA